UGGAGGCAGCAGUGGGGAAUCUUGCGCAAUGCGCGAAAGCGUGACGCAGCAACGCCGCGUGGGGGAAGAAGGCCUUCGGGUUGUAAACCCCUUUCAGGAGGGACGAAGGGUCGGCCGUUAAUAGCGGUCCGGCUUGACGGUACCUCCACAAGAAGCCCCGGCUAACUACGUGCCAGCAGCCGCGGUAAUACGUAGGGGGCAAGCGUUGUCCGGAAUCAUUGGGCGUAAAGAGCGCGUAGGCGGUCCGGUAAGUCCGCUCUGAAAGUCCGGGGCUCAACCCCGGGAGGCGGGCGGAUACUGCCGGGCUAGAGUCCGGAAGAGGCGAGUGGAAUUCCUGGUGUAGCGGUGAAAUGCGCAGAUAUCAGGAGGAACACCAAUGGCGAAGGCAGCUCGCUGGGACGGUACUGACGCUGAGGCGCGAAAGCGUGGGGAGCAAACAGGAUUAGAUACCCUUGUAGUCC
rnacentral:rRNA from 1 species